GAUCUACACAUAUUGAAUGUCAGCGGAUUAAACAGAACAUGUCAAGGGAACACUGGGUGAGUCUCCCCACUCUGAUGACAAAGUACAGCUGGUAGGUCCAGAUGGCACAUUUUGCUAUUAGUAGCUGGCUCUGAAGCAAGAGGGAGACUAGCUUGAGGGAUUCUCAUAGACCUUACACAGUGGUAUACACAUAUGAAAAAUACUGUAACACAUGUGUGUAAAACACAUAUUGAUUCUAUCUGCAAGCUGGAUUCCAAUUCCACUUGUUUCUGAUAUAUGCCACCCCAGUGUGGGUGAGGAUUCCUCCUGCUCCUUGGUCCUGGCUCUUCUCCACCUCAAAAGGCACAGUCACUUCAUGUGCUUUUUAUAAUCACUAUUAAAAUGCUUGGAAGAACAUUCACAGGUAUCCCUCUGCGUUUGGAGAAUGUGAAAAGGUGACAGGUGUGUAAAGGCUUGAAGGAGGUGACAGAGUUAUUCCCACAGAUAAUCAAGGGAGAACAUUCUAGGGACCAGGGAAAGAUAAUGCAAAGGCAAGAAAGCAAUAGCGUGCCUGGAAAAUUCAAGCAACAUCAAGGAAGCCAACUUACCUGUAGAGAAGUGAUCACUCAGCAAACCACCAGAUGCAAGUUCAGAGAGAAGCUGACUGUCAAGGGAGCCUGGGAGGCAUAGUCCUGUGCAGAAGUCCCCUUUCCUGGGAAGAGAGCAGGCCAGAGAAAGAACACUGAGGAGCUGGAGAAGCAUUGCUGAGGGAGCAAAUGAAGAAUACUUAACCACUGCCAGGCUCCCUUCCGAGGGCCUGAUGUGGGUUAACAUUUCAAUCAAAAAGUUGGAGCCCAGAAGAAAGAGAGCUGAGAUUAAGAACUGGAGAUGGGGGUAGAGAGGAGCCACUGGCAGACGGACACAAGCUCAUUUCACAAGGGGCAUUUCUCAAGGUCCUGCUACCCAGCAUUGUCUUUCCUUGGCUCCAGUCAUCACAGUCUUACUGAUGCUUCUCUCAACCUCUUCCCUUUAAAUCAUAUUAUAAAGCAUUAUUUUGGAGAACAUGCUCUGAGAAAGGGAUCGUCCUUCUUUAAACAACUUACCUGCACAUCAACUUGUCUAAUGCAGGAUUCUAAAGUGCUGAAUUAGAGUUUCAUUCCAACAAGACCGAGUUUUCAUGCCAUGUUGAGCAAAUCCUCUUAACGAUUGUCAGCAUGUUAUUUUGUUAGAAGUCUCUAGAGAAAUACCAGUCUUCUACCCAUAGGCGUUCUUUCCUAAAGUUGGAAUCCAAGCACUGUGACAAGUGUAUGGGAGAGAGACAUUGUUCUCAAAUCCUGUUAUGUCCAAAACUGCUUAGACUGCUUUCACACCCAGGUCCUGUACUAAAGAGUUAAUGAGGACAGUAUCUCAGUAUGGGUCAUAUUUAUUUAACAUGCAUUAUACUCCCAGCUGACAUUUCCUAAUGAGUUUAUUGCCACUGUAGUGUUAAAGCUUCCUCAUUCAAUAAGCAUAAACUCAAGUGUCAAAAAUGAAACAUAGGUAUCCCCAGUGCUUAAAUGGCCUGUAUCGAUUCUCCGGCAGGCUAACUGCUGGAGUCUUGUGCCAGGCCUCUCAUUUGUGCUCUGAAAUGUACAGCCUCACUUGAUUUAGAUGUCAGAAUUAAGACAGCACAUCAGUUUGAAAAAUCAACUGAAAUAUUCUAGAAAUUGGUUUGGAUAUCUUCACCUCGUGUUAUAAAAAUCAUUGUUCUUACCUAAACAAGGGGCUAAGUAAUAUUAUUCCCAUUGACUUUUCUUUUUCAGUGUGUUUUAUCAAAGGAAAUGUCCUCAGAGUCGAAGCUUGUUGUGUCCUGUGCUUUAUCUGUAGAGCGAAUUCCAUUUAGAGAAAUUUAAUGCCAAAGCUGAAAGAUCUGCAUUCCUGGGGGAUGACUAUGUAGGCCAUUGUCUUUGGAGAUGAAUAAACACAUGUGCGUGGUGUUUGCACUAAGCUCCUGAAGUGCUCAUGAUAUGCUCACUAUGCCUCAUCAUCAAAAAGACUUAAAGACACUUUGAAGAUGCUGCAGAAUGCCACUGUAUGGUAGUUUCUGCUUCAAAGAAAUUAUCUCCUGUUUCUAAGGCUGUCAAAGAGGGUGGCUGAAGAAGCAGGGGUAUGGAGAUUAGCCAAAUUUCUACUGGCAAAAUAAGAAAAGCUAAUUCUCUCUUUCCAACCUAGAGUGAAAAAUUGCAAUACUUAGAAUUAAAUCUACACUUUAGACAACUUUAAGAGCCAGAAGAGACUUUAAGCUCAACAAUUGUUUAUAUUAAACGACACAAAAAUUCAAAACAAAUCAUGACUUGUCCAAGAUAGGAAGUUUAUUAGGAGGUACAGGAAAGAUUAAAACUCAAGCCUUAUGCCCCAAACCAAACUCUGAUAGGCCAAUGUUUCUCUAAAAUAGCAUAGGUUUACUUUAAUUUUGCUAUUUCUUAGAGAAAAGGUCCUAAAUUCCUUUCUGCUAAAGUUUCUUACUGUCAUAGAGAUAAUCUUGAUAUUCUGAAAAAGUUAUUAGCAAAUACAGUAGAACCUCUAUAGCUGACCCCCUGCCUACACUGACCACCUCCUAAAGUUGACCUAAUUUUCAUAGACCGGACAUGCACCACAUGUACGUAUCAGUACCAUAGGUCUAGGUCCUUAUGUGACCUCCAUAUGUUGACCAGUUUGUGACAGUCCCUUGGGUGGUCAACUUACAGAGAUUCUACUGUGAUUCUUUACAUUUUGUAUAGUUUUUCAGUCUAUAGCAUAUGCUAUUUCGAUGACUGGUCUUUGAGAUAUUAGACUAUAUACAAUGCCAAAUAAAUGCAUAGUGUUGGUUUUAAUCUGCCUUGGCAUGGUGGCCAGCAGGCAGGUAAUGGGAAAACCAGAGGCUGCUACAACUAACUGCUCUGGUGAUUGAAAGCAGAGGCUUUUCAGAACAAUCAGUGUUAGGAAGAGCGUUAGGAAGAGGCUUUUCAGAACAGUAAGCAUUUGGAAGAGGGUUUCUUCAGCUAAAGUAACAGCUAAUCAAACUAACAUAAUAGGUGCAAAUGAGUUCUCCUUAGUGAAAGGAGUGAUUUUCAAGAUUUAUGGAUUAGCUAAAAUAUUUUAGAAAUACUCUACUUUUGCAUGAAAGGAUACAAGUGCCUUACAGAGCCUCCAAAUUUACUCUUGAUGUGCUGCGGACUGGCCACAAGUUACCCAGUAACAGGGAUAGUUUCUGUGUGAGAUUGCCAGUCAACAAUGUGUUAAGAUGUCACAGGUGCUGAGUGAUUCUAUAUUAUAAUCAGCAGAGAGAGGAGGUGGAGAGAAAUAAUAAAAUAGGCUGAAUUUUGGAAAGCUGGGAAUUGAGACUGGGAGAAAUGAAUCAGAAAAUAGCAGUUAACAGUUUGUUGCAGAAACUACCCACAAUUACCAGGUACUUUGUGACCUGUCAGCGAUGUGUUAACAAUGGCAUCCAAGGCCUAAGUGUUUCUUUGUUCAGCUCAUAGUCCAGAGGGUUGUGCCCACACGAUCGCAACUAUAAACCUGAGUACAUCUUGCUUCAAAAUUUUUUAUCAGCCUCAUGCGAAGCUUUCAUUCAAAGUGUGGUUAGGGCAUCUAAAAGAAGAGACUGUAUAAAGAAUGACUGAAGAUCCGGAUUUGCUCAAGACUAGGUAUUUCCUACACUUGGGAAUUCAGUGAUAAAACUGGAACAGUUCUGGGUAAACGGGGAUAUUUGGUCACCCUAUUUACUACACUGUUUACUACAAUUGUUAUGUCCUUACUUACUAAUAAAUGAUGGUCAGUAUAUCAAAAUUUUAACUGACACCUGCUUUCAGUGACACUUGCUUUAUCUGACACAUUACUUGGUAACAAGUUUGUUAUGUAAAACCUAUGGCACCCAUCUAUUUUGGUGCAGCCAGUAUCUAUUUUUUUAAAACUCGGGUUUGUGGCCGAAUUUAUUUGGGUAUAUAUACAACAAAAGGAGAGGGGUAGGAAACACAUUUUUCCUGUCCCAGUGGUCUGAAUAUUUUUGUACCUAUCAGUUAAAAGUACAACACACUCAAACACAAACAAAAAAUAAAUGCAAAAAAUCUACAUCAUAAAUAAAGAAUACAAGCAGUUGACAGAGAAACACUAACCAUGAAUUAUCUCACACUCUUGUGGUUACGGCCAUCAAAACCUUAACUCUAAUUUAUUUUAUAAAAGUUUACAAAGGGAGUGCAGCACCUGUGGCUCAAAGGAGUAGGGCGCCGGUCUCAUAUGCCGGAGAUGGUAGGUUCAAACCCAGCCCCGGCCAAAAACUGCAACAACAACAACAACAAAAAGUUUGCAAAGGGAGGAUUCCUUCCAAGCAACAUUUUGUGAGUUAUUCAAAUGACACAGAGAAUAGCUAUAAUCCCAGUCGGACUUCUUCAUCAGAAGGGAUUGUCUU